rnacentral:rRNA from 1 species
GACGAACGCUGGCGGCGUGCUUAACACAUGCAAGUCGAACGGAAAGGCCCUGCUUUUGUGGGGUGCUCGAGUGGCGAACGGGUGAGUAACACGUGAGUAACCUGCCCUUGACUUUGGGAUAACUUCAGGAAACUGGGGCUAAUACCGGAUAGGAGCUCCUGCUGCAUGGUGGGGGUUGGAAAGUUUCGGCGGUUGGGGAUGGACUCGCGGCUUAUCAGCUUGUUGGUGGGGUAGUGGCUUACCAAGGCUUUGACGGGUAGCCGGCCUGAGAGGGUGACCGGACACAGGGAUGGGGUGACACGCGCCACAGGCAGAGGGGGGGGGGCGUGGGGGUAGAGGGCGCGCGGGGGCGACGUCUGGGGACGACACGCGGGGGGCGGGAGGGCGGCCGGGGCGUUGAAAGCCGCGGUCGCGGGUGACGAGGGGGGAGUGACGGUAGGGGGGAAAGAGGCACCGUCUAACUACGUGCCAGCGGCGGGGGUAAUAAUGGGACGAGCACACGUUUGAUC